AUUGAACGCUGGCGGCAGGCCUAACACAUGCAAGUCGAGCGAGCGGCGGACGGGUGAGUAAUGUCUGGGAAACUGCCUGAUGGAGGGGGAUAACUCUAGGAAACGGUAGCUAAUACCGCAUACAAUCAGAGGUGCCCAGAUGGGAUUAGCUAGUAGGUGGGGUAACGGCUCACAUAGGCGACGAUCCCUAGCUGGUCUGAGAGGAUGACCAGCCACACUGGAACUGAGACACGGUCCAGACUCCUACGGGAGGCAGCAGUGGGGAAUAUUGCACAAUGGGCGCAAGCCUGAUGCAGCCAUGCCGCGUGUAUGAAGAAGGCCUUCGGGUUGUAAAGUACUUUCGGCGGGGAGGCGUUACCUGCAGAAGAAGCACCGGCUAACUCCGUGCCAGCAGCCGCGGUAAUUC
rnacentral:rRNA from 1 species